rnacentral:rRNA from 1 species
AAAAUGAUCGGAGGGAUGUAGCUUCGAUUUCGAUUGAAGUGUUAUACCUUUGGUAGAUGUAACUGUCGGGAUCGAGGAUUGCAACGGAUACCCUAACGGGCUAUUGUCUGGCCUCUGAUACGACACUUCGGCGUCGAAAGCUUGCUUACGAUGUUGAAGCGUUCGUCAAAAGGUCAGAACGGAUUAAAUUCGUUAAGGAUGCUGACGUAAUGGCUUUAAACGA